UACGGAGGAGCUAGCGUUAUUCGGAAUUACUGGGCGUAAAGCGCACGUAGGCGGCUUUGUAAGUUAGAGGUGAAAGCCUGGAGCUCAACUCCAGAAUUGCCUUUAAGACUGCAUCGCUUGAAUCCAGGAGAGGUGAGUGGAAUUCCGAGUGUAGAGGUGAAAUUCGUAGAUAUUCGGAAGAACACCAGUGGCGAAGGCGGCUCACUGGACUGGUAUUGACGCUGAGGUGCGAAAGCGUGGGGAGCAAACAGG
rnacentral:rRNA from 1 species